rnacentral:rRNA from 1 species
GUAAAUUUUUAUUUAUAUAUUUUUUAUUUUUAUUUAUAUAUUAUUAAUAUUUAAUAGUUUUUAUUAUUUAAAGUAAUAAUAUAAAAAAAUAAUUUUAGUAAAUUUAAUAAAAUUAAAUUAAUUUAUAUAAUUUUAGUAUUGAAAAAGAAAAAUUUUUAUUACUUUAAAAGAUAAUAUUAUUAAUUUUUACCUUUUGUAUCAGGGUUUAUUAAAUUUAUUAUUUAUAUAAUUAAAUUUCGAAAUAAAUUGAUCUAAUUUUUUAUAAUAAUUAAUGUUUAAUUAUUAUUAUAAAUAUAAAUUUAGAAAUUAAAUGUUUAACAAAAUUUAUGAUAUCUAAUUAUUUUAUAAAUAAAUUUAAUUUAAUUAUUAAUAGAGUAAAAUUUAAUUAAUUAAAUUUUAAUAGAUUAAUAAUAAAAUUAUUAGGGCUAAACUUAAUAAUUAUUUUAAUAUAAAAAUUUUAAGUUAAUAAAAAUUUAUUAUAAUGAUAAAAUUAGUAAAAUUUUUAUUAAUUUAUUAAAUUAUAUUAAUUAAUAGAUUAAUUAAAGGAAUUAGGCAAUAAUAUUUAUUCAUCUGUUUAUUAAAAACAUAGUUUAUUGAUAAUAAUAUUAAAUAAAAUCUGCUCAAUGAUUUAAAAUUAAAUAGCUGCAGUAUCUUAACUGUACAAAGGUAGCAUAAUCAGUUGGCUUUUUAUUAAAGUCUAGAAUGAAGGAUUAAAUGAAAUAAUAACUGUCUCUAAUUAAAUAUUUAUUAAACUUUAUUUUAAGUUAAAAUUCUUAAAUUAUUUUAAAAGACGAGAAGACCCUAUAGAAUUUUAUAAUUAAUUUAUUUAAAUAAUUUAAAUAAUUUAAAUUAUUAAAUUGGGGAAAUAUUAAAAUUUAAAUAAUUUUUAUAAGUUAUAAAUAAUUAUUUUUAAAUUUUUAUUAAAUUAAAUUAAUAUUAUUAAAUUUAUAAUAAAUUACCUUAGGGAUAACAGCGUUAAAUUUUUAGAAAGCUCAUAUUGAUAAAAAAAUUUGCGACCUCGAUGUUGAAUUAAAAUAAAUUAUUAUUGUAGAUAAUAAUAAAAUUUAGUCUGUUCGACUAUUAAAAUUUUACAUGAUUUGAGUUUAGAUCGGUGUAAGCCAGAUCGGGUUCUAUCUUUAAAUUACUAAAAUAUUUUUGUACGAAAGGACUAAAUAUUAAUAUUAAAUUAUUUAAAAUUGAAUAAUAUAUUAUUUUAACAUAUUUAAUGUAUUAAAUUUAAAAUUUAAAGUUAAUAAUUAAAUAAUAUUUAAAAAUUAAUUAAU